AGUAUACAGUCGAGUCUUCUGGAAAAAUUAUAUCGAAACCGAUCCAACUUGGAGACAAUUUUUAGGAUCAUAGACAGUGAUCAUUCAGGAUUUAUCUCCCUGGAUGAGUUCAGACAGACUUGGAAGCUCUUCAGCUCCCAUAUGAACAUCGACAUUACAGAUGACAACAUCUGUGACCUAGCCAGGAGCAUAGACUUCAACAAGGAUGGCCACAUCGACAUCAACGAGUUCCUGGAGGCCUUCCGCCUCGUGGAGCAGUCCUGCUCAGAGGACCAUGCCUCUGCUUGCCUGCAAUCCACAGACACUGCGGAGAGUGGCCAAAGCAGUCUUGGUGCAUGCUGAGGACAGCCUGCUCUUUAUCACCUCCAGUGCCUAUAGGCAAUGACAAGUGUAUGAGUCCACAUAGAUUUGGGAGAUUUUAUGCUGAGAAUUUGCUAAUAUCAGGCAUUGGAAUAAAGAAUCAACUGCCUGUUUGCUGGUGGGUGGGCUAGGCCUGGUGUGGUGUGUGUGUGUGUGUGUGUGUGUGGUGUGUGUGUUGUGUCUCUGUGUCUGUGUGUGUACACACAGUGAUCCCAACCUCAUCUCAGAAUCUUUACAAAGUAGAUUUCAGGUGUAGGUAUGUUUAAACUCUAAAAUCUACUCUAGCUAUCACUGAUGAUUUAAUACUCUCAUUGCUUACAUUUUAUACCUCGUAUUUAUUGUUUUAAAAAUGUCAAGGUGUUAUGGGAAAGCAUUUUUUAUUGUAUAUAAUCAUGAUUCCAACAAACAUUUUUUUUAUUAUGUACUUUGUCUUCAUAUAAUUAUAGAGUUUCUCUGAUUUUAUGUUCACAUUUUUAAAUAAAUUACCCUAGUUGUACAUGC